rnacentral:rRNA from 1 species
CAGUCGCCACGGUAAUACGUAUGUCGCGAGCGUUAUCCGGAAUUAUUGGGCAUAAAGGGCAUCUAGGCGGCCGGAUAAGUCUGGGGUGAAAACUUGCGGCUCAACCGCAAGCCUGCCCUGGAAACUAUGCGGCUAGAGUACUGGAGAGGUGGACGGAACUGCACGAGUAGAGGUGAAAUUCGUAGAUAUGUGCAGGAAUGCCGAUGAUGAAGAUAGUUCACUGGACGGUAACUGACGCUGAAGUGCGAAAGCUAGGGGAGCAAACAGGAUUAGAUACCCCUGUAGUCCCUGUCUCUUAUAC